UACGUAGGUGGCAAGCGUUGUCCGGAAUUAUUGGGCGUAAAGCGCGCGCAGGUGGUUUCUUAAGUCUGAUGUGAAAGCCCACGGCUCAACCGUGGAGGGUCAUUGGAAACUGGGGAACUUGAGUGCAGGAGAGAAGAGUGGAAUUCCACGUGUAGCGGUGAAAUGCGUAGAGAUGUGGAGGAACACCAGUGGCGAAGGCGGCUCACUGGCCCGAUACUGACGCUGAGGCGCGAAAGCGUGGGGAGCAAACAGG
rnacentral:rRNA from 1 species